GUAAAUGGUAACGGGAAGCAAAGCGUAGGUGUUUGUUUGGUGGGCUCUGUCUAUUAUGCUACUUUAAGAAUCGCUUUUCGCUCUCAGCUUCUGGCGCUUUAUCCAUUUGGUUUUCUAGGUUGUUUUGGCAUCUCAGUUAUUCUGCUGGAGUGGACAAUUCAUAGGCCUUAUAUGCACUGUAUGAGAAGCGAGUUCCCGCGCUUCUCGACAGUCUCCCACAAGCACUAUUAACAGCUUCCCUUUUGUUCUGCUGGAGAUAUUUCAAAAGUUUGGUGGAUAACUGGAUAUGAACCAUAUCCUGGAUUCUGAAAUAGUAUAAAUGAGAAAAUAACAGCUGCCCGCAAAGAAUGGCAGGAAAACGAGGAGAAGAAAGAUUUAUAACAAAAUUGCC